rnacentral:piRNA from 1 species
UAUUGUAUUGUUUUGUGGUGUUUGCCUGU